GACGAACGCUGGCGGCGUGCUUAACACAUGCAAGUCGAACGGAGAAGCGCCUUCCUUUUUGGUGGGUGUGGAUGAGUGGCGAACGGGUGAAUAACACGUGAGUAACCUGCUCCCUCCUGCUGGAUAACCGCAAGCAAGUGUUGCUACUACGGGAUAUUCUGAGUCUGUUGCAUGAUGGGUCUGGGAAAGAUAUGGUUUCGGUGGGGGAUGGGCUCGCGGCCUAUCAGCUUGUUGGUGGGGUGACGGCCUACCAAGGCAGCGACGGGUAGCCGGCCUGAGAGGGUGGCCGGCCACACUGGGACGGGGACCCGGCCAAGACUCCGAGGGGAGGAAGAGGGGGGGAAUAUUGCACAAUGGGCGAAAGCCGGCUGCAGCGACGCCGCGGGAGGGAUGGAGGCCUUCGGGUUGUGAACCUCUUUCGCCAGUGAAGCAGGCCUGCCUCGUGUGUGGGUGGGUUGACGGUAGCUGGAUAAGAAGCGCCGGCUAACUACGUG
rnacentral:rRNA from 1 species